AUUGAACGCUGGCGGCAUGCCUUACACAUGCAAGUCGAACGGCAGCACGGGUGCUUGCACCUGGUGGCGAGUGGCGAACGGGUGAGUAAUACAUCGGAACGUACCUUAUCGUGGGGGAUAACGCAGCGAAAGCUGUGCUAAUACCGCAUACGCCCUGAGGGGGAAAGCGGGGGAUCGCAAGACCUCGCGCGAUUAGAGCGGCCGAUGCCUGAUUAGCUAGUUGGUGGGGUAUAAGCCCACCAAGGCGACGAUCAGUAGCUGGUCUGAGAGGACGAUCAGCCACACUGGGACUGAGACACGGCCCAGACUCCUACGGGAGGCAGCAGUGGGGAAUUUUGGACAAUGGGGGCAACCCUGAUCCAGCAAUGCCGCGUGAGUGAAGAAGGCCUUCGGGUUGUAAAGCUCUUUUGUCAGGGAAGAAACACCGGCUCUAACACAGUCCGGGAAUGACGGUACCUGCGGAAGAAGCACCGGCUAACUAUGUGCCAGCCGCCGCGGUAA
rnacentral:rRNA from 1 species